AAGUCGUAACAAGGUUUCCGUAGGUGAACCUGCGGAAGGAUCAUUACAAAUAUAUGGUUAACGCCAACAUUUCAUGUGCAACUUAUUGACGCUGCCAGAAUUUCGAAAAGUUUUUGGAUUUUUCGAUGCCUGGCAGCAAACCCGACCGCUUGAAUCAAUAAUGUACUUUAGUGAUUUAAUGCAUGAUACAAGCGGUCAGCGGGCCUCUCGUUGUUGUUCUCGGAUAACAAUUGAUGUCCGUCUUUUACAACAUUAUAACAUCAUCUUAUUUAUCCAUCAUCAGACAGUAGCAAUUCAGCGAAAUGUGAUGACAUAAAAGGGUUAAAAACUUUUAGCAACGGAUCUCUAGGCUCUC
rnacentral:misc_RNA from 1 species